UGCCGGAACAGAACCAGAACGCCAUGGCUAACUAUGUGCCAGCAGCCGCGGUAAUACGUAGGUGGCAAGCGUUGUCCGGAAUUAUUGGGCGUAAAGCGCGCGCAGGCGGUUUCUUAAGUGUGAUGUGAAAGCCCCCGGCUCAACCGGGGAGGGUCAUUGGAAACUGGGGAACCUGAGUGCAGAAGAGGAGAGUGGAAUUCCACGUGUAGCGGUGAAAUGCGUAGAGAUGUGGAGGAACACCAGUGGCGAAGGCGACUCUCUGGUCUGUAACUGACGCUGAGGCGCGAAAGCGUGGGGAGCGAACAGGAUUAGAUACCCUGGUAGUCCACGCCGUAAACGAUGAGUGCUAAGUGUUAGAGGGUUUCCGCCCUUUAGUGCUGCAGCAAACGCAAUUAAGCACUCCGCCUGGGGAGUACGGUCGCAAGACUGAAACUCAAAGGAAUUGACGGGGGCCCGCACAAGCGGUGGAGCAUGUGGUUUAAUUCGAAGCAACGCGAAGAACCUUACCAGGUCUUGACAUCCUCUGACAACCCUAGAGAUAGGGCUUCCCCUUCGGGGGCAGAGUGACAGGUGGUGCAUGGUUGUCGUCAGCUCGUGUCGUGAGAUGUUGGGUUAAGUCCCGCAACGAGCGCAACCCUUGAUCUUAGUUGCCAGCAUUCAGUUGGGCACUCUAACGUGACUGCCGGUGACAAACCGGAGGAAGGUGGGGAUGACGUCUAAUCGUCAUGCACCUUAGGACCUGGGCUAUACGGGAGCUACAAUGUCCUUAACAAAGGGCGGCGAACUCGCGAGGCCAAACCAAUCACACUCAUCUGAUCUCGGGUCAGAUCUCACUCUGCAGCUCGA
rnacentral:rRNA from 1 species